AACCGCGGUUAUACGAGAGACCCUAGUUGAUAGAUACGGCGUAAAGUGUGGUUAAGGGUAAAAAAAAUAAAGUCAAAGAAUCUUCUAGCUGUUAUAAGCUCACAAGAACACGAAGCCCAAUCACGAAAGUAACUUUAAUCUUCCUGACCCCACGAAAGCUAAGGAA
rnacentral:rRNA from 1 species